GGUUGUUCCAACAAGUCCGAUACAGUCAUGAUAUAACAAUAUUGUUACAACCUUGCGUCAUCAACCUUGGAACAUUCUUGUUAUAUCAUGAAUGUAUCAGACUUGUUAGAACAACU
rnacentral:miRNA from 1 species